GACGAACGCUGGCGGCGUGCCUAAUACAUGCAAGUCGAGCGAACACAAGAGGAGCUUGCUCCUCUUGGUUAGCGGCGGACGGGUGAGUAACACGUGGGCAACCUGCCUGUAGGACUGGGAUAACACCGGGAAACCGGUGCUAAUACCGGAUAAUCCUUUUCCUCUCAUGAGGAAAAGUUGAAAGUCGGUUUACGCUGACACUUACAGAUGGGCCCGCGGCGCAUUAGCUAGUUGGUGAGGUAACGGCUCACCAAGGCGACGAUGCGUAGCCGACCUGAGAGGGUGAUCGGCCACACUGGGACUGAGACACGGCCCAGACUCCUACGGGAGGCAGCAGUAGGGAAUCUUCCGCAAUGGACGAAAGUCUGACGGAGCAACGCCGCGUGAGCGAUGAAGGCCUUCGGGUCGUAAAGCUCUGUUGUUAGGGAAGAACAAGUAUCGGAGUAACUGCCGGUACCUUGACGGUACCUAACCAGAAAGCCACGGCUAACUACGUGCCAGCAGCCGCCGUAA
rnacentral:rRNA from 1 species